rnacentral:rRNA from 1 species
GACGAACGCUGGCGGCGUGCUUAACACAUGCAAGUCGAACGGAAAGGCCCUGCUUUUGUGGGGUGCUCGAGUGGCGAACGGGUGAGUAACACGUGAGUAACCUGCCCUUGACUUUGGGAUAACUUCAGGAAACUGGGGCUAAUACCGGAUAGGAUCUCCUGCUGCAUGGUGGGGGGUGGAAAGUUUCGGCGGUUGGGGAUGGACUCGCGGCUUAUCAGCUUGUUGGUGGGGUAGUGGCUUACCAAGGCCUUGACGGGUAGCCGGCCUGAGAGGGUGACCGGCCACAUUGGGACUGAGAUACGGCCCAGACUCCUACGGGAGGCAGCAGUGGGGAAUAUUGCACAAUGGGCGGAAGCCUGAUGCAGCAACGCCGCGUGCGGGAUGACGGCCUUCGGGUUGUAAACCGCUUUCGCCUGUGACGAAGCGUGAGUGACGGUAAUGGGUAAAGAAGCACCGGCUAACUACGUG